GACGUAGGGUCCAAGCGUUUGUCCGGAUUUACUGGGCGUAAAGGGCGUGCAGGCGGUCUGUUAAGUCUAGGGUGAAAGCUCCCGGCUCAACUGGGAGAGGUCCUUGGAUACUGGCGGACUUGAGGGAGGUAGAGGAAAGUGGAAUUCCCGGUGUAGUGGUGAUAUGCGUAGAGAUCGGGAGGAACACCAAGGCGAAGGCAGCUCUCUGGGACGGUACUGGACGCUGAGACGCGGAAAAGCG
rnacentral:rRNA from 1 species